CGCGGCCUAUCAGCUUGUUGGGGGGGUAAUGGCCUACCAAGGCGACGACGGGUAGCCGGCCUGAGAGGGUGACCGGCCACACUGGGACUGAGACACGGCCCAGACUCCUACGGGAGGCAGCAGUGGGGAAUAUUGCACAAUGGGCGAAAGCCUGAUGCAGCGACGCCGCGUGAGGGAUGACGGCCUUCGGGUUGUAAACCUCUUUCAGUAGGGAACAAGGCCACACGUUGUGUGGUUGAGGGUACUUGCAGAAGAAGCGCCGGCUAACUACGUGCCAGCAGCCGCGGUAAUACGUAGGGCGCAAGCGUUAUCCGGAAUUAUUGGGCGUAAAGAGCUCGUAGGCGGUUUGUCGCGUCUGCCGUGAAAGUCCGGGGCUCAACCCCGGAUCUGCGGUGGGUACGGGCAGACUAGAGUGAUGUAGGGGAGACUGGAAUUCCUGGUGUAGCGGUGAAAUGCGCAGAUAUCAGGAGGAACACCGAUGGCGAAGGCAGGUCUCUGGGCAUUAACUGACGCUGAGGAGCGAAAGCAUGGGGAGCGAACAGGAUUAGAUACCCUGGUAGUCCAUGCCGUAAACGUUGGGCACUAGGUGUGGGGGACAUUCCACGUUUUCCGCGCCGUAGCUAACGCAUUAAGUGCC
rnacentral:rRNA from 1 species